GUAAGGAAUAUUGGUCAAUGGACGAAAGUCUGAACCAGCCAUGCCGCGUGAAGGAUGAAGGCCCUCUGGGUUGUAAACUUCUUUUAUCUGGGACGAAAAAAGGGUAUUCUUACUCACUUGACGGUACCAGAGGAAUAAGCACCGGCUAACUCCGUGCCAGCAGCCGCGGUAAUACGGAGGGUGCAAGCGUUAUCCGGAUUCACUGGGUUUAAAGGGUGCGUAGGUGGGUAUUUAAGUCAGUGGUGAAAUCUCCGAGCUUAACUCGGAAACUGCCAUUGAUACUAUUUACCUUGAAUGCCCUGGAGGUAAGCGGAAUAUGUCAUGUAGCGGUGAAAUGCUUAGAGAUGACAUAGAACACCAAUUGCGAAGGCAGCUUACUACGGGGUGAUUGACACUGAGGCACGAAAGCGUGGGGAGCAAACAGGAUUAGAUACCCUAGUAGUCC
rnacentral:rRNA from 1 species